rnacentral:rRNA from 1 species
AAGAGCUUGCUCUUAUGGGUGGCGAGUGGCGGACGGGUGAGGAAUACAUCGGAAUCUACUCUUUCGUGGGGGAUAACGUAGGGAAACUUACGCUAAUACCGCAUACGACCUACGGGUGAAAGCAGGGGACCUUCGGGCCUUGCGCGAUUGAAUGAGCCGAUGUCGGAUUAGCUAGUUGGCGGGGUAAAGGCCCACCAAGGCGACGAUCCGUAGCUGGUCUGAGAGGAUGAUCAGCCACACUGGAACUGAGACACGGUCCAGACUCCUACGGGAGGCAGCAGUGGGGAAUAUUGGACAAUGGGCGCGAGGCUGAUCCAGCCAUACCGCGUGGGUGAAGAAGGCCUUCGGGUUGUAAAGCCCUUUUGUUGGGAAAGAAAUCCAGCCGGUUAAUACCUGGUUGGGAUGACGGUACCCAAAGAAUAAGCACCGGCUAACUUCGUGCCAGCAGCCGCGGUAAUACGAAGGGUGCAAGCGUUACUCGGAAUUACUGGGCGUAAAGCGUGCGUAGGUGGUCGUUUAAGUCUGUUGUGAAAGCCCUGGGCUCAACCUGGGAACUGCAGUGGAAACUGGACGACUAGAGUGUGGUAGAGGGUAGCGGAAUUCCUGGUGUAGCAGUGAAAUGCGUAGAGAUCAGGAGGAACAUCCAUGGCGAAGGCAGCUACCUGGACCAACACUGACACUGAGGCACGAAAGCGUGGGGAGCAAAC